rnacentral:tmRNA from 1 species
CAUCUUUCUUAUUCGCGCAUGCUCCCCUAUAUUGAUCAUGCCGUCCUCGUGGCGGCUAUGGCGAUAAACGGCGUCGAAAUGAAGCUUUUCGGACCCGGGGGCGGUACCCGGCGCCUCCACCAAAGCAUCUUCCUAGGUAACGGUACCUAAGAUAGAUGCUUUGGCGGGGGCGAAAUAGGUUCGACGGGAAGUGUAAAGGACUGUCUUUCGCUCGGCAUUGUACCACCGUUACCGGGCUAACUUUAUAGUUGCCAAUGACAACUAUGCUCCGGUGGCCGUUGCCGCGUAAUGCGGUAAUAGUACCGAAAUCAAGUCCUUGGGGGUAGCACUUCAAGGCGGGGUUCGGAGGCACCUGGCAACAGAAGCCUCCACU